UUUCCUUGAUCCACACGUUUCUUCAUCAUCACCGGCUCGUCCAUGUACCAGCUCGAUUCAGCAUUCCUAUGAUUGAAAAUGACGAUGGAUGUUGAAGAUACCAAAGUAAGGGAUUCUAUUAGAUUUAUUUAUGGGCGAUCUUUGCCGACGGGAUUCUAUUAGAUAAGAAAUUUCAGUUACUUUGUUUUUGUUUACGUAACAGAGAAAGUGAAACUUGUUGUCUGUGUUUUAAAGAAUCAAUAACUUCUAACAAAAUUUUCCCAAAUAUCAGAGAUACAACUGAGACAAAAAUCAAAACUGAAGCUUGAGAGAGAAGCUUGAAGUUGUUGUCGGAGAUCAAUGGCGUUUGUCGGAAGUAUCUUCUGACAGAUUAUCCUCGAAAUUUUAACCCAAUCGAAGCUCUAGAAGCAGAAUUUGCAGCCCAGACAUCACCAUUACUGCAGCUUUCGGAAAUCAGAGAUUCAGACAAUCAAAUUUUGAAUAUGAAUUUUAGCGUUUAAACUUGUUUUUGAUUUGGGAUCUUAAAGCAUAGUUUAUGGGUCGGUAUAAUUUGGUAAAAAGUUACUUCAAACCAGUUUUCCAGUUAUAUUUCUGUAUUUUACGGUUUGGGCAAGUGAUUAUACCGAAUACUGUCUAAACCAAUAUUCGUGGAGAAAUAAGUUUGAAUUUUUUUUCUCGGGUUGAAGUAAUAGUUCGGGAGACAAUACUUCUCGUGGGGAAAUAGCUCGUCGAACAUUGAUUUUUAAACAAGAGUUGAGUCAAUGAGCAGUCUUUCCUCUUGGGAAAUUAAGUUUGUUUAUAUAGGAGAU
rnacentral:lncRNA from 1 species